rnacentral:rRNA from 1 species
AACGAACGCUGGCGGCACGUUUUAAGCAUGCAAGUCGAAUGGCAGCAGGGGGCAACUCUGUGAGAAUGGCGAACGGGUGAGUAACACGUAGGUGAUCUGCCUUGAGGAUGGGGAUAGCCUGUGGAAACACAGGGUAAUACCGAAUGAGCUGACGAGACUUUGGUUUUGUUAGUAAAGGUGCUACGGCACCGCCUUGAGAGGAGCCUGCGGCUGAUUAGCUAGUUGGUGGGGUAAGAGCUUACCAAGGCGACGAUCAGUAGCCGGCCUGAGAGGGUGUACGGCCACACUGGAACUGGGACACGGUCCAGACUCCUACGGGAGGCAGCAGCUAAGAAUCUUCCGCAAUGGGCGAAAGCCUGACGGAGCGAUGCCGCGUGAUCGAUGAAGGUCGAGAGAUUGUAAAGAUCUUUUCUACAUGAGGAAUAAGUCUGGGAGGGAAUGCCCGGAUGAUGACGUUAGUGUAGGAAUAAGCCCCGGCUAAUUACGUGCCAGCCGCCGCGGUAA